GACGAACGCUGGCGGCGUGCCUAAUACAUGCAAGUAGAACGCUGACGGAGGAGCUUGCUUCUCUGGAUGAGUUGCGAACGGGUGAGUAACGCGUAGGUAACCUGCCUGGUAGCGGGGGAUAACUAUUGGAAACGAUAGCUAAUACCGCCUAAUAGCAGUUAUUGCAUGAUAACUGUUUGAACGGUGCAAUUGCACCACUACCAGAUGGACCUGCGUUGUAUUAGCUAGUUGGUGGGGUAACGGCUCACCAAGGCGACGAUACAUAGCCGACCUGAGAGGGUGAUCGGCCAAAAUGGGAAUGAGACACGGCCCAGACUCCUAAGGGAGGGAGCAGUAGGGGAUCUUCGGACAUGGACGGAAGUCUGACCGAGCAACGCCGCGUGAGUGAAGAAGGGUUUCGGAGUGUAAAGGUCUGUUGUAAGAGAAGAACGAGUGUGGGGGUGGAAAGUUCACACUGUGACGGUAUCUGACCAGAAAGGGACGGCUAACUACGUG
rnacentral:rRNA from 1 species